GUUUCAAUUCCUCGUAGGUAAGUUAAAAAC
rnacentral:other from 1 species